UACAGAGGGUGCAAGCGUUAAUCGGAAUUACUGGGCGUAAAGCGAGCGUAGUCGGUUAUUUAAGUCGGAUGUGAAAUCCCCGGGCUCAACCUGGGAAUUGCAUUCGAUACUGGAUAGCUAGAGUUCGGCAGAGGGAAGCGGAAUUUCUGGUGUAGCGGUGAAAUGCGUAGAUAUCAGGAGGAACACCGGUGGCGAAGGCGGGUCUCUGGGCCGAUACUGACGCUGAGGAGCGAAAGCGUGGGGAGCGAACAGG
rnacentral:rRNA from 1 species